rnacentral:rRNA from 1 species
UACGUAGGGGGCAAGCGUUGUCCGGAUUUAUUGGGCGUAAAGCGCACGCAGGCGGUGCGGUAAGUUUCGAGUGACAGGUGGUGGCUUAACUGCCACAGGACUCGGAAAACUGCUGCACUUGAGGGCUUGAGAGGGACGCGGAAUUCCAGGUGGAGCGGUGAAAUGCGUAGAUAUCGUAAGGAAGACCAGUGGCGAAGGCGGGUCUCUGGACAGUUCCUGACGCUGAGGCACGAAGGCCAGGGGAGCAAACGGG